GACGAACGCUGGCGGCGUGCUUAACACAUGCAAGUCGAACGGAAAGGCCCUGCGUUUGUGGGGUGCUCGAUUGGCGAACGGGUGAGUAACACGUGAGUAACCUGCCCUUGACUUUGGGAUAACUUCAGGAAACUGGGGCUAAUACCGGAUAGGAGCUCCUGCUGCAUGGUGGGGGUUGGAAAGUUUCGGCGGUUGGGGAUGGGCUCGCGGGUUAUCAGCUUGUUGGUGGGGUAGUGGCGUACCAAGGCUUUGACGGGUAGCCGGCCUGAGAGGGUGAACGGCCACAUUGGGACUGAGAUACGGCCCAGACUCCUACGGGCGGCAGCAGUGGGGAAUAUUGCACAAUGGGCGGAAGCCUGAUGAAGCAACGCCGCGUGCGGGAUGACGGCCUUCGGGUUGUAAACCGCUUUCGCCUGUGACGAAGCGUGAGUGACGGUAAUGGGUAAAGAAGCAACGGCUAACUACGUG
rnacentral:rRNA from 1 species